ACUAUGUGACGAGUCCCAAAUAGGACGAAAUGUGCAUCCUGAAU
rnacentral:hammerhead_ribozyme from 1 species